rnacentral:rRNA from 1 species
AGUGAACGCUGGCGGUAGGCCUAACACAUGCAAGUCGAACGGCAGCACAGGAGAGCUUGCUCUCUGGGUGGCGAGUGGCGGACGGGUGAGGAAUACAUCGGAAUCUACCUUGUCGUGGGGGAUAACGUAGGGAAACUUACGCUAAUACCGCAUACGACCUUCGGGUGAAAGUGGGGGACCGCAAGGCCUCACGCGAUUAGAUGAGCCGAUGUCGGAUUAGCUAGUUGGCGGGGUAAAAGCCCACCAAGGCGACGAUCCGUAGCUGGUCUGAGAGGAUGAUCAGCCACACUGGAACUGAGACACGGUCCAGACUCCUACGGGAGGCAGCAGUGGGGAAUAUUGGACAAUGGGCGCAAGCCUGAUCCGGCCAUACCGCGUGGGUGAAGAAGGCCUUCGGGUUGUAAAGCCCUUUUGUUGGGAAAGAAAUCUUGCCGGUUAAUACCUGGUGAGGAUGACGGUACCCAAAGAAUAAGCACCGGCUAACUUCGUGCCAGCAGCCGCCGUAAAAC